rnacentral:rRNA from 1 species
UACGGAGGAUGCGAGCGUUAUCCGGAUUUAUUGGGUUUAAAGGGUGCGUAGGCGGGCUGUUAAGUCAGCGGUAAAAGCUCGGGGCUCAACCCCGGCGAGCCGUUGAAACUGGCUGUCUUGAGAUGUCGAGAGGUAUGCGGAAUGCGCAGUGUAGCGGUGAAGUGCUUAGAUAUUGCGCAGAACUCCGAUUGCGAAGGCAGCAUACCGGCGGCGAUCUGACGCUGAGGCACGAAAGCGUGGGUAUCGAACAGG